rnacentral:lncRNA from 1 species
GGAAAUGAACAACUCACAAGUUCCAGACAGUACCUGAAACUCAGAAAAUUCAUAGGUAUCGGUCUCAAAGCUAUACAAAGAGUAAUGAAUGUGGGAGAGGACACUGUCCCAGUGUGUGAGUUACCUGAAAGGCUCUAGACAGCUCAACUGAUUAUGAGUCACAGAGAAAGCUCCUAGAAGCAGGAUCUCUGAGGAAUCAACUGUAUUUUGUGGGAUGAUUACUGAUGCUAUUGAUUUCAAGUCAUCCAUGUUGCUAUGCUGAGAGAGGUUGAAGGAACAUCUGUCUCCUUAUCACAGGACUAUCAGCUGGGAACAUCCUACACACCUGCCCCUUCCCUUCCUCCGGGAUGCAGCAGGCCUCAAGCAAGACACCUCAGGCUUACUUCGUGAAUUUUCUAAGACCCAGGGCGUUUUCCUACUCAAUCACAAUGCUCGCACAUAAAGUAAUCAGCACUGAUUAGAAGUCAGGGCACAAUACAAAAUGUUUCCUCAGCGCAACAGC